rnacentral:rRNA from 1 species
UACGUAGGUGGCAAGCGUUGUCCGGAUUUACUGGGCGUAAAGAGCGCGCAGGCGGUCGAUCAAGUCGCGUGUGAAAGCCCCCGGCUCAACUGGGGAGGGUCACGCGAUACUGAUCGACUCGAAGGCAGGAGAGGGUAGUGGAGUUCCCGGUGUAGUGGUGAAAUGCGUAGAUAUCGGGAGGAACACCAGUGGCGAAGGCGACUACCUGGCCUGUUCUUGACGCUGAGGCGCGAAAGCUAGGGGAGCAAACGGG